rnacentral:lncRNA from 1 species
AAUAGCUCAGGUAAUGAAAAAAUACAGACAACCUAAUGUUAUAUUGCCAGUCUUAAUUCCCUGAUUCAAUUAUGUUUAAAAUAGGAUACUGCAUCAGAAAACAUCAAAAGAAGUAAUUACGGUGCACACACCAGUGAAUGCUGCUGGUACUCUGCCCAGAUCCCCUUGCCCAGCAGCAGGCACAGGGCCAAGCUGGACCAAUCGACCCUUCCUCACAGAUGCUGUGAAGAAAGACUCAUGGGGCAAAACUGGAGGCAUCUGAAGAGCGUCUCUUGGGGCCAAGACCCACAUGUCCCGGCAAGUUCCUAUUCCUCUUCUCUAUUCUCAGUUUCUGUGAUUAAUACCAUCUUCCCAAUAAAAUAUAUUUUCAUGUUAAUA